AUUGAACGCUGGCGGCAGGCUUAACACAUGCAAGUCGAGCGGGGGAGGUUGCUUCGGUAACUGACCUAGCGGCGGACGGGUGAGUAAUGCUUAGGAAUCUGCCUAUUAGUGGGGGACAACAUUCCGAAAGGGAUGCUAAUACCGCAUACGCCCUACGGGGGAAAGCAGGGGAUCUUCGGACCUUGCGCUAAUAGAUGAGCCUAAGUCGGAGUAGCUAGUUGGUGGGGUAAAGGCCUACCAAGGCGACGAUCUGUAGCGGGUCUGAGAGGAUGAUCCGCCACACUGGGACUGGAGCACGGCCCGUACUCCUACGUGAGGCAGCAGUGGUGAAUAUUGGACAAUGGGCGGAAUCCUGAUCCAGCCAUGCCGCGUGUGUGAAGGAGGCCUUUUGGUUGUAAAGCACUUUAAGCGAGGAGGAGGCUACUAGUACUAAUACUACUGGAUAGUGGACGUUACUCGCAGAAUAAGCACCGGCUAACUCUGUGCCAGCCGCCGCUGUAACAC
rnacentral:rRNA from 1 species